rnacentral:rRNA from 1 species
GUGGGGAAUAUUGGACAAUGGGCGAAAGCCUGAUCCAGCCAUGCCGCGUGUGUGAAGAAGGUCUUCGGAUUGUAAAGCACUUUAAGUUGGGAGGAAGGGCAGUAAGUUAAUACCUUGCUGUUUUGACGUUACCGACAGAAUAAGCACCGGCUAACUUCGUGCCAGCAGCCGCGGUAAUACGAAGGGUGCAAGCGUUAAUCGGAAUUACUGGGCGUAAAGCGCGCGUAGGUGGUUUUGUAAGUUGGAGGUGAAAUCCCCGGGCUCAACCUGGGAACUGCCUGCAAAACUGCAUGACUAGAGUACGGUAGAGGGUAGUGGAAUUUCCUGUGUAGCGGUGAGAUGCGUAGAUAUAGGAAGGAACACCAGUGGCGAAGGCGACUACCUGGACUGAUACUGACACUGAGGUGCGAAAGCGUGGGGAGCAAACAGGAUUAGAAACCCCAGUAGUCC